UUCAGAGUGAAGACCAUAGCGCCUUUUCCUAGUCAAGUAUCGGGCAGCUUUAUGUCUUUUCAGAAAUGCACAUGUCUUCUUUAGCAUGUCAUUGUGAUUGCUUUUAAUAAGAUAGGCAAUAAACUCAUAACCUUUAGAAAAAGGAGCAUCUGUAAAUUCAGAUUUCACUAUUUCAUAGUCAGCCAGACCAUGAUUGAGCUUAAGGAGUGUGCUGCGGAUGCGGCCUGUGCAGUUCCGGGAGAAAGUCACUGUCUUGGGAAUUGCGGUCUGGUAUCAGGUCUGGAUGAUCCUUGCCUGACUCCGGGUUUGUGUACACCUCAAUCCGACUCCCUGUCCGGUACCGAGGCCGCAGUGGUGCAGCGCCUGUGGACGAUCCAUCAACAUUCUGAAAGGUCAACACUUCACCAAGCUGGGCAAAUUGAUCCUGAUAGUCAUCCCCAGAGUCAGCCAGACCAUGAUUGAGCUUAAGGAGUGUGCUGCGGAUGCGGCCUGUGCUGUUCCGGGAGUAAGUCACUGUCUUGGGCAUUGCGGUCUGGUAUCAGGUCUGGAUGAUCCUUGCCUGACUCCGGGUUUGUGUACACCUCAAUCCGACUCCCUGUCCGGUACCGAGGCCGCAGUGGUGCAGCGCCUGUGGACGAUCCAUCAACAUCCUGAAAGGUCAACACUUCACCAAGCUGGGAAAAUUGAUCCUGAUAGUCAUCCCCAGGUAGUGAAAUGAAUGUACACUGAACUACAGAGGAAGCACACCCAAAUGACUUUCCCGACAUUAGUGUGGCCCCUCGGGCAGGAAUUCCUUAACAAACAUGCUUUUUUGCAUGGGGACGGUGGCAUUUUUGCAAAACUUAAGCUUUCAACACUGGAUUUUAAAGAGAACACUUAAUAAAAUGUAGCCUACAGGACUUAUUUUUAUGAGAGAGACUAUCUGGAUGAGCAACAAAUGUCACAUUGUGUCGUAAGCUGUUGAAGGAGCGAUUUGCGCCAUUCUAAGUGUUAAUUUUGGGUAGCAGGCUUGUAUCGGCUUGAAAGCUGCAAAUUAUUCCUUUCAUCAUAAUAGCAUUAAUUAUUUUAAUUGCAAUGUGUAUGU